CUCGUAGGCGGCCAACUAAGUCAGACGUGAAAUCCCUCGGCUUAACCGGGGAACUGCGUCUGAUACUGGAUGGCUUGAGGUUGGGAGAGGGAUGCGGAAUUCCAGGUGUAGCGGUGAAAUGCGUAGAUAUCUGGAGGAACACCGGUGGCGAAGGCGGCAUCCUGGACCAAUUCUGACGCUGAGUGAGCGAAAGCCAGGGAGCAAACG
rnacentral:rRNA from 1 species